AACGAACGCUGGCGGCAUGCCUAACACAUGCAAGUCGAACGAGACCUUCGGAUCUAGUGGCGCACGGGUGCGUAACGCGUGGGAACCUGCCCUUAGGUUCGGAAUAACUCCCCGAAAGGGGUGCUAAUACCGGAUAAUGUCUUCGGACCAAAGAUUUAUCGCCUUUGGAUGGGCCCGCGUUGGAUUAGCUAGUUGGUAGGGUAAAAGCCUACCAAGGCGACGAUCCAUAGCUGGUCUGAGAGGAUGAUCAGCCACGCUGGGACUGAGACACGGCCCAGACUCCUACGGGAGGCAGCAGUGGGGAAUAUUGGACAAUGGGCGAAAGCCUGAUCCAGCAAUGCCGCGUGAGUGAUGAAGGCCUUAGGGUUGUAAAGCUCUUUUACCCGGGAUGAUAAUGACAGUACCGGGAGAAUAAGCUCCGGCUAACUCCGUG
rnacentral:rRNA from 1 species